rnacentral:rRNA from 1 species
AGAGUUUGAUCAUGGCUCAGAUUGAACGCUGGCGGCGUGCUUAACACAUGCAAGUCGUGCGGUAACAGGCGUAGCAAUACGUGCUGACGAGCGGCGAACGGGUGCGGUAAUACAUGGGAAUCUGCCCUUUAGUGGGGAAUAACCCGGCGAAAGCCGGGCUAAUGCCGCAUGAGAUCUCCGGAUGAAAGCGGGGGACCGUAAGGCCUCGCGCUGAUGGAUGAGCCCAUGUCGGAUUAGCUAGUUGGUGAGGUAAUGGCUCACCAAGGCGACGAUCCGUAGCUGGUUUGAGAGGACGGC